rnacentral:rRNA from 1 species
CCUACGGCGGGCAGCAGUGGGGAAUAUUGGACAAUGGGCGAAAGCCUGAUCCAGCCAUGCCGCGUGUGUGAAGAAGGCCUUCGGGUUGUAAAGCACUUUCAGUGGGGAAGAAAGCCUUGGGGCUAAUACCCUCGAGGAAGGACAUCACCCACAGAAGAAGCACCGGCUAACUCCGUGCCAGCAGCCGCGGUAAUACGGAGGGUGCGAGCGUUAAUCGGAAUUACUGGGCGUAAAGCGCGCGUAGGCGGUCUGAUAAGCCGGUUGUGAAAGCCCCGGGCUCAACCUGGGAACGGCAUCCGGAACUGUCAGGCUAGAGUGCAGGAGAGGAAGGUAGAAUUCCCGGUGUAGCGGUGAAAUGCGUAGAGAUCGGGAGGAAUACCAGUGGCGAAGGCGGCCUUCUGGACUGACACUGACGCUGAGGUGCGAAAGCGUGGGUAGCAAACAGGAUUAGAUACCCUGGUAGUC